rnacentral:tRNA from 1 species
GGGGUUGUGGCUCAGUGGUAGAGCGCUCAUCUAGCACGUGCGAGGCCCUGGGUUCCAUCCUCAGCACCA